GUUUGAUCCUUGCUCAGGAUGAACGCUAGCGGCAGGCUUAACACAUGCAAGUCGAGGGGUAUAGUAGCAAUACUAGAGACCGGCGCACGGGUGCGUAACGCGUAUGCAAUCUACCUUUUGCAGGGGAAUAGCCCAGAGAAAUUUGGAUUAAUGCCCCAUAGUAUAAUGUCUUGGCAUCGAGAUAUUAUUAAAGUCACAACGGCAAAAGAUGAGCAUGCGUCCCAUUAGCUAGUUGGUAAGGUAACGGCUUACCAAGGCGACGAUGGGUAGGGGUCCUGAGAGGGAGAUCCCCCACACUGGUACUGAGACACGGACCAGACUCCUACGGGAGGCAGCAGUGAGGAAUAUUGGACAAUGGGCGCAAGCCUGAUCCAGCCAUGCCGCGUGCAGGAUGAAGCAUCUAUGGUGUGUAAACUGCUUUUGUACGAGAAGAAACACUGGUUCGUGAACCAGCUUGACGGUACUGUAAGAAUAAGGAUCGGCUAACUCCGUGCCAGCAGCCGCGGUAAUACGGAGGAUCCAAGCGUUAUCCGGAAUCAUUGGGUUUAAAGGGUCCGUAGGCGGUCAGAUAAGUCAGUGGUGAAAGCCCAUCGCUCAACGGUGGAACGGCCAUUGAUACUGUAGGACUUGAAUUAUUAGGAAGUAACUAGAAUAUGUAGUGUAGCGGUGAAAUGCUUAGAGAUUACAUGGAAUACCAAUUGCGAAGGCAGGUUACUACUAAUGGAUUGACGCUGAUGGACGAAAGCGUGGGUAGCGAACAGGAUUAGAUACCCUGGUAGUCCACGCCGUAAACGAUGGAUACUAGCUGUUGGGAGCAAUCUCAGUGGCUAAGCGAAAGUGAUAAGUAUCCCACCUGGGGAGUACGUUUACAAGAAUGAAACUCAAAGGAAUUGACG
rnacentral:rRNA from 1 species